CCUAACUAUCUGAUACUUUGAUUCCAAGGAAUAAAAAUCCAUGCUAAAUUCCCUUGGCUCCUGGAGUUUUAUAGCAGAUCACCAGCAUCCUGCGGUCUACCCCCUGCAUUAUAUGUAUAGGCAUAGUAAAAAACAAGUGAACAGACUUAUAAAGUCUUAAGAGGAAAAUAAAAAGAAUGGGAGAAAGUCAGCCCUUCUUUGUCUCGCACCGCUCUUAAACUGAGCAAUGGUUAGACACCUCUCCUUUAAAAAAUUGAUGGGAUUUACUUCUGCAUUUCCCAAUGUGUGCCUUUCUGUUCCUCAGAGACAGCAUAUCUUUCAGCCUAUUCAGGACCGUUUCCCCGUAAAUUUGAGAUGUCUUUGAUAUCGUCUUCAUUGAUUCGGUCCCUAAAAAAGUGACAGUAAGUUGACUAUUAAUGGAAAUGGCAUGGCAGUGUCUGCUACAGCUUAACCUCUGUAGAGUGAAAUCUAAAUGAGUUAGACCUGAAUUCUAACAGCCUUAAAAUUCAUUGGCAGUUUCAAAUAAAAUAAACCAAUACCAUUAAUCUACAGAAGAGUGGAUGAUGAUGAUAAAGACUUGAUUUUGAAACAUGCUUGUUCAAUUUCUUUUCCUGCUACAAUUUGAUUGAAUAUUUGACUGAUCACAGAGCAAUAAAGGCUUAUGAGUAGAUAAGCCGUGAUACUCUAUCAGAAGAUAUUAUUCCCUAUUUUUCUGUUAAAAAAACUCGGUCACUUCUUUAGGGACUAGAAAACAAGAUAUGUACUAAUUUCUAAACCUGAAUACAGAAUAUUAAUGAAGGUUAAUUUGCCAGAUGGCUGAAGAAUAUCAACUGAUCACUGGGAAUGUUGUGAAAGUAUAGAGUAUUUCCCAAUUCUACAGCAGCAGGAGAAGCAAUGAAAGAGGAUAUUUAAAGUCAAAUUGUCAAUUUUCAGCCAAUACCUUUGGACUAGCAAUACAAUAUGACCGCUUUGUUGAUGCUCCUACUUGGUCUGUAUUUGUUUUCAGUUCCUUCACUUCCCUCCAUGAAAGCAGUCUGAAAAAACUCCGUUGAAAGACAUAAAUCAGGCUUAAUAUCUUCCAGUGAAGAAUAAACACAUUGUAAAACUCCAGACUGCUUCAAGUCCAACAGUCUGGUUUACAGUCUGACUUAUAAAGUAAAAAGUACUAUAAACCUCAUCCCAUGCAAGAGUAAUGAGCAUUUUUACCAUAAAUUUAAGUUAUAGAAAAUUCUAUUUCUUUUGAAUUUCUGUGCUGUAAUAACUUUUUAGCAAUUAUGUUUGCAAAUUUUUUCUUCUUCCAAAAUGUGAUUCUUGCCAAUAUUUCUUAUAAAUUGAGAAGUUUUAUACACUGGAGGAGAACGAUAUACACUGCUCAGUAUUUUUAUAACAGUUCUCAACAGUCUAUCAAGGGAAAAAAUGCAAGCAUGACAGAAAAUGCAUACUUAAAAGAGUAAGACUCUUUAGAGAUAUUUAAAAAUAUUUCAGGAAAAUUCUUUUAUUUUAGUAUGAAUUGAGCUUUCAUAAUAUGUGUCAGUAGUUCAAAAUUGCCAUUAAAGAUACUUAAAGAAUUGCCUGUUGCUUUCAGUUUAUUUAUCACUGCUUAAAGGCAGAACUUGUAGACAAAAGUGAUGUCAUUAUAUAGGAAAGGAAUGCCAUGGGAGAUUUCAGGAAUUGCAAGUUCUUCCUCCUCAGAGAAGGAGCCCUGAGGUUAUUAGCAAUCUCACCAUAUAGAAUGUCUUCACACCACUGUGUGGUCAGAGAAGAGGACACGUCCGGUAUGAUCAUCCACAGCUGACAACAGUGAAGACAGAGACAUCACAGUAAGCACUUGGGUAUGGAAUUUGUCCUUUUCCUUCUUGAAUGCAGCAUUUUAAGAUGUGUGCAGUCAUAUUUGACAGUUACUGUCAGCAGUGACUUUGUGCCUUAAACUCAUCCAUUCUCACAAAUGCAUAGCCUGAUACAGGAGGAGUGAGCUUGUAUAUAGGAUACGCAAAGCACAAAUCAUCACUCACAGCACAGAUGAACAAUGCUGAUUGUAUUAAUUUCAUCAGAUCACAGAGACAGGAGUACACGGGAGUCCAUUCACACAAUCAGCAAAGCAUUCCAUUGGAGACUUCUGUUAUUCACCUAUAUCCAGGUGAAAGCACCAAAGUUCAGUAACACUUCAGAUGCAGCAAGUAAGUCAGAUGCAUCAAGACUGAGUGCUGUGCUUGUCAAGGGACUGUUCCUAGAAAGUCUAAACCCAGUAACAUAGCAGGCAAGGGAACAACUUAAAGUGUCGUGCUUUUGACAGUCCUUACUUACAAAGCAAGGUGAAGUCUUGGCCAUAACUUUCAACUUCAUGCAGAGGAGCAAAAAAUCACUCUGUGGGGUACAGAAAAGUAAGAGUGUGUUGACAGAAGAAACAAAUGCUGAAACAUCUUCAUCUGUCUUUUAGUGUAUAAUACAUCCUGUGCACUUAUAUACUCUGCUCUCACUGAGUUUGUUACUGGUCAAGUCAUAAGGGGAAAAUCUGUAUUUUUUUAUGUUCUUUGUAUCUCAUUUAUCUGAUCCCUUCAUUGCAUCCAAGCAACUCAGCCAUUGUCAUUUUUGUGGAUAAGGAUUCAAAGAGCUAUAGCAAUCCACACUGGUAUGGUCCUUUUCCCCCUCCAAUGAAAAAUCAAAACAAACCCAGUGUGAUCCUAACAUUUUCUUCUUCAUUGCACUGGGAGACAGCCAAACCUUACCUACAGAUGCUAUUGAUGAGAUUCAUAUAUCAUAAUCAAAAUGGGAAAAAAAUCUCUGUAUUCUUAGGAAUGCAUUGUAAAAUAGGAUAAACAAAGAACAGCUUAAAAGACCUACUAAAUCAUUUGUACCAUUGAUAAAAAGCAAAGACCGUUUAACUUUCCACUGAUGCUGAAAGCUGUUUUGUCUGUUCUGUUUGGCAGAAGGUUAUGGGUAAUGAACUACACAAAAUGCUGGUCUACCUGCUCAGAAUGCAAUUUUGUAAUAAUAUCACUAACAGAAUCCUUAUGUUCCUUUUAGAUGCACCUUUCUCCCAGCUGAAGGAUAUAGGCCAGAUCCAAACAAUGGCAGAGGACUUCUGUGUAUUGCAGUUUAUGUAAAUGCUCCUUCUGCUACACACUUCAUCGCUAGGAAUGAGGCAUUACAUCAGAAGCCUAGAGAGUUGUUCGAAGACAGAAAAUGUUUCCAGCAGACAAGUCGAAGGCAGAGAAGGAAAUAAUAAACAUCAAAAACUAUACAAUGUCAGUAUGAUCAUUUCAUACUGUCCCUCCAGACUUCACUACACUUCCAGACACUUUUACAACUGUGACGACUGACAGCAUUUCAACAGUUACAGAUUGUUUAUCAGCCCUCCAGCUGUUCCGUCAGAGAGUAGGAAAACACCCGUGAAGAAGGCCAUUCCUAGUGACAGCAGCAUGACCAUUCCUGACAGCAGCAUGAAUUCAGUGCAUUGGGGUCAUCGUAUCCUGGAACUUUGCCCAUCAUUUUUUUCUGAGGAUUCAGUAGAUACCAAAAUAGCUAUUAUAUUUAGUUGCUUAUCUGCUUUUGUCUGCAGUGCAGAACUUGUAAAAAUGUCUUUCAUUCUGAGGCUUAACACAUUAAAUAUCACCUGAUCUGAAGAUGUUUGAGAAUGUAGAGCCUUUUGCAUAGA